GCUACAUAUCCUGAAAUCCCUCUUUCCUAUAUCAUUGUCUGUCUGCGUCUCUCUCUCUCUCUCUCUCUCUCUCUCUCUCUCUCUCUCUCUCUCUCUCUCUCUCUCUCUCUGUCUCCACUCUCUUUCUUUUUGAGACGGGGUCCCUGUCUUAGCCUCCCAGAGCCCUGCACGCUAGAUUAGUGGUUUGAGACACCACUAACACUUCUGUAGUUUUUGAAAGUGUUUAAGUAGCAUUUGUUAGCUCAUCAAUGGGACAGGAGCCAAACCUAUGAAACUCAGCCUUUACAAAUUUGAGAGCAGAUUUCUCUGAGUGGUCUGGGUUCAAAAAUGACUGAAGAUGUUACUUUGGUCUUUCAAAAUAUAGAAAAUGAAUGGAAAUCAUCCAUAUCCUAAAAAUUUCUUUACUAAUCCAGCCACAUUUAAAGUUCAUAUAAAGCACUUGAUUUCAUACAAGCCCUUUUCUAUCCAGGAAUUAUGCAACUGUCCCUACCCCCAGUCAACUUUCAGCUAAGGGAGUCAUUUUAGAGUCGCCUGUGGUACAUUUUCAAGAGAUACGUCCUCUCUGCUCAAAGGCUGGGUUUUCUUUUCCAGGAAUCUAGCUCAUUCUUGCCUGGGGUGGGCAACAUGGACAGAGUCUACCACUGAUCAAGAGCUCCUUGUGAGAGUAGAUUGUGUCUCCUGGAUAUUGAGAAUUUGAAAGAAUUUCCUCCAGGAAAUCAUCAUUAAGAAAGUUAUUGUUAAGGCAUUUUCCAAUGGUAAUAUGCUGGAUUGGCCUUUGGGGUAAUUUUGAAAGCAGUGUGGUUCUCAAAUCUCACUGGGAAGGAAUAACUCAAAUGAAUGCCACUGUUUUGGUCUGCUAACUUCUCCUUUUGCUGUCAUGAUCUGCUCCAACUGUCUGUGAGAUGCACAGUCAGUGGCUGGCCUAACCCACCGUCAUUAGUGUCCUGGGUGGUUAUAAUUAUCUGUUGUGUGGACCAGCCAGGUCCGGGGUCAUCAGGCUGAAGGAAGAUGCAGGGAAGUGUCUUCUGCAAUCACUUCUAACGGGCAGUCCUUUGGAUUCUACAUGUAAGUGUGUUGAAUUGUCUUUAUUUACUGUGUCAUAAAGUUCCUCAUCUUCUCAAUUCACAAGUCUUAAAAGUGUUUCAGUGGUAGCUCUAGAAUGUUCAUCUAAAGAAAACUGGCUUUGUUAAAACGUCUUAAGUUCAGAAAAGGCUACAUUUUUCAGCUGAAAAACGAUUUCAGUAAAGAUUGCUUUCAAUUUCAGCUAAGAAAUUCAGAUGAGUUGUUGUAAAGUAGAAGUUAACAAUGAAAAGCCAGUUUGGGGAGAAGUGGAUUGCCACAAUGAACCAUCAUAACUGCCUGAACAUGCAGACUAUAGGAAUGUUCCCUGUGCAGCCCCUACUUCCCCCAUGUUCUUGGUCAGAAUCCUCUCACAUGCUGUGUUUAUCAUUAACUAUUUACUAAGUCCCCUCUUUGCUGGAAAACUGGGAGCCCUGGGGAGCAGAGACAAUCUAAGCACAAUGACCCUAACAGCAACAAGAGAACCAAACUCCACUGUGUUCAGUAAGUACUUAUUAACUAUAAUACUAGAAUGACAUGGAACCACAGACUCAAGCAACAGUUGCUGACAGACAAUGCACUAAGCUAAUGGGACAGAAAAUUGAAUACCUUCCCUCUUUUAGGACAUGUUGGUAACAAUGAGCCUCACAAAUGUGUAAAUAGGUAACUAUACAAUAACAACAGUAUGUGGAAUUGACUCACUCAAGGUGUUUCUUAAAUAGGUAAUAAGGCAAACACUAAAGAAAUAAGUGUUGGGCACAGGCCUAGAGCUGGGGAGGCUGAGGAAUGAGAACAUUAUAUGUUUGAAGACACUUUGGGAUACAGAGUAAGUAAUGGUCACCCGGGACCAUGUAGUAAAACCCUGGAGAGAGAGAGAGAGAGAGAGAGAGAGAGAGAGAGAGAGAGAGAGUAAUAUGCAGAGAUGGCUUACAAGUGUAGAGUGCAUGUUGCUCUUGCAGAGGACCUGAGUUGUUUCCCGGAACACAUGUGGAUGCAUACACGUGCACAUACACACGCACACACAUAAACACACACACAUACACACACACACACACACAUACACACACACAAAACUUUCAAAAAAAUUAAACGUAUUUAAAAGAAAAAGAAGAAACCAAAAGGAACAGGUCAUAUGAGAAGGAGCUAAUGAUUGAGGAAAGUGUUACUGAGAAGACAAACUUUGGGACUUUAAUCACAUUUCUCCACAUCUCCAAGGAGAGAGGAUAGACUCAAGGACAAAUCUGUCUACCAUGUUUGCAUAGUGCUUUGUUUAUACCAUGCAGACAAAACGCCCCAAAGCCCAGAGUACAGUUCGGCCCCUUGUCCUCAGCAAUAAUGGACACAGCCUUUUGUACCAAGUGAUUUUUCACUCUUGAAGGAAGAUAGUCUUUGGAAUUGUUGAACACACUGAGAUGAGCACUCGGUGCAUGCAUUUUUUUUUUCUGUAAAAUUACUUUGAGUUCAAGGAUUUUAUGCAUGAACAUACUAUCUAAAUGUGACAGAGAUUUAUAUAACCACUUUAAUUCAAUGCAACAGAAUAGUCCUUUGUCUUCCCUACCCUUCUCCUCAUCUCUUGUGAACUAACAUAGGGACAUUGUUCAAGUUGGAAGCACACGGCUUCUGCUAGCUCUAACCAGAAAUCCUGCCUGAAAACUCUUUUCUUUAAAAAAAAAAUACACCAAGGAGAUGAAUAGACUUUUUUUUUUUUUAUCAUACUGAUGGUAUUCAGAAUUGAUGACCAUGGCAGACUUGUUCUUUAUACUAAAAAAUAAUGACAUUUUCAAGGUAAGUUGCUGUCAUAUUGACUGCCUGGACAGAGAUUAAAAGAGCAGUAACAAUAAUUAUAAACGUGCUUGUAGGAGAAGAGUAGAAAUUUUGACUAGAAUUAUAGUGGAUGCUGAACCCUCUUCUCACAGUGUGAUUUUUACUUCCAAGAUUUCAGUUUUCUUGCCAGGAAGCUUUUGGCCUUCUAAACAGAAUCCAAAUUGAAAUAGAAUUUAUUGAUAGAAUUUAUUGAUGAACCUUUAAAGUUUGACAUUUAUCACAAUCAUUAGCAUCAGUGUUAAACUUUAGAAUAAGAGAGCAAAGGCUUGAACUGCUUGAGUCCACCCCUUAUUAUUGUGACUAUGAGCAAAUUAUCCAGUUUCCAUGCCUGCUUUCUAAUCUGUGAAGUAGAUUCAUUAAAACUCUAGGAUUAUAAAAUAGCUGGGGUGAUUGCUGUAAGGUGGCUGGUGCAGUUGCCCACAUGCUAAAUGCUUUGUAAGCACUAGCUAUGAUGCUGGAGUCCAGGAAAGGGGCUUUCAAAAUGCAAGAUUUCACUUUAAGUUUGGAAAAGAGUCCGACGGCUCAGGUGACUCAGUGGCCUGAAGUGUAACCAAGAGCUUCAGUAGGGACACAGGCACUAAACCUGAUUUUGUAUUUUUCCUCUCAUUUCUCAAUUCAUUUCACCUAUGUUUGCUAUAAAUUCACCAGUGCCAAUAAGAAGAUGGUCUUUGAAUUUUUAUUUUAGUAAAGAUCAUAAGUAUCAACAAUUACAAAUCAUUUAUUAAUUAAACAAAAAUAAAAAUAAGUACCAAAGCAGUUUUCAUGGUGGCAUGGAUAACAAGUUAAUAACAAUCUUUAUUCUGUACUAAUGCUUUGGUAAGAGAUAGCAAAUGAUGCAUGAAUAAGGAAUAACAUACAUAGUACUAAAUCUGGCUUUGUUUUAUAGUAAAUUGUCACAUUUGAAAACCUCAUUUAAAUGUAUAUUUUGGUUCAUAUUCUGACAUUUCCUUACUCAAACGAAUAAUCUACUCACUCAUGUGCUUAGCAUGCCAGAAAAUUUGAGUGAAUAUUUUAAACAUCUCUCCACUAUAAAAAUUAUCUUAGUAAUAUUCAUAAAAUAAAAACAAUAAUGAAUACAAUGAAAAAAGAAAUACAGAUAUAAAAUACUUUAGUUGAAUUUGUGCACAUAGCUGCAUAAAUGAGAACAAUUAAAUACAAAGAUUUCACUGAAAGCCAGUUUCUUUGGCUUUCCUUUUUUUUAAAAGAUUUAUUUUACUUAGUAUGUAUACAGUGUUCUGUCUGCAUCAGAUCUCAUUACAGAUGGUUGUGAGCCACCAUGUGGUUGCUGGGAAUUGAACUUAGGACAUCUGGAAGAGCAGUCAAUGCUCUUAAUCUCUGAGCCAUCUCUCCAACCCUUCUUUGACUUUUAAACUAGACUGAAGACUAGGAAUUCCAGGAAUUCUCUAGACUUUAAGCUCAGACUGGGUCCCAGCCUUGAGAAGUAAGUAGUUAUUGCUUCUGAGCCUCUCUUAAGAAAACUGUGACUAACCUUUAAUUGCAUUGUAUAUUUUAAAAAUAGGAAAUAACAUAUACAUGCUUAUGAAGAGUCAGUGCUACAAGGUUCUAGUGUCCAUCUGCAUAUGGAGUGAUUAGUGAGUGAUGAAAGAUGUCCUUCUUCAGCUUUGUAAUCACUGAGCCCACAGUUCUUCAAGUGUAUUGCUCAGAUACAGGAAUCAGGGAUGGGAUAAUUCAUCUCAGUGUACGGUUAUCCAUCAGUUUUGUGUGGGUUCACUUAGUGCACAAGAGCUAGCCUCUUUCCUGUUCUAACUCAGCAGCAGCAUCUCCACAGCUUUAUAUUAGCCUUAAAGGGUGACAAUGUCAAGACUAGCAAAGGCAAGCACUGUUUCUUCAGUGAAGCAAUGGUUGGACAUUAAUAAAUUUACCACACAGCGAACUAUCCUCGAAGUGAGCCCAAAACAUCUGCAACAGUGGAGAAGUUGUCCUCCAAACAGUUACCUGUAAAGAUAGAGAAUUGGAAGUCAAAUGUUUUACCAGUACUCUGAAUUGACUUGCAAAUAGAACAUACCAUUAAUGCAGAAUUUGUUAAGAACAUAGACAAAAAUUUAUUUUGAAUUCUUGCCUCAUGAUAAUAAAAACAGAUUUCAAGUCUGUUCAAUUUAAUUUUUAUUUUUGAUAUCUGCCUCACUGAGGAGCAAUAAUCCUUGAAUAUAUUAGUGUCUAUUGGAUAUUAACAGCUGUAUGUGCUUUGAUCCACCACCAUAAUCAAUAAACAAACAUCCCUACAACUUUUGUUAGUUGUUUUGCCCCCCUAUAGGAGAUAAGUCCGAUCACCUCAGCCCAAGAUAAGUAAUAUAUUUUAUACCACUAUAGAUUGAAUGAAUUUUAUGGUUUUAAAUAAGUAGAACUAUACACUAUAUAUUCUUUCAUGUUGAGGUUUCUUUCCUUUGCAGGAUGAUUUCAAGACUUAUACAUUGUUACAUUCAUAUCAAGCCUCUUCUUUUCCUUGCUAAAUAUCCACCAUUGAGUAUGCAACUAUUCUCACAAUGGCACAAUUUUAUUGUUUCUAAUUGGGGAGACUCAAAUAAAGGUUUUAAGAUUUGUAACACACAGUAUCGUGAGAACGCAUCUUUUGGUAAGUGUAGAAUGUUUGGGUUGCAUGUCGGAAUGGCUAAGCUGGUUGAAAACUUGUAUCUAGAAUUAACUAAGAGAUAUGUUUCUGAGUGUGUCCACAAGGACGUUUUCUGGAAGGAUCAAUGGAGGGCCAAAGACUCUCCUGCAGAGUGGGCACACCUUCUGGAGGUAGCCUAGAUAAAAAGAGGUCUGAGAGGAAAGCUGUUGCUUCCUUAGCCUCAUGCUGGUGAAGGUAUCUACCUUGUUGCUGUGGCUGCUGCUGCUGCAGACAUCCUUCACUGAAAUUGAACCUAGCUUCUUUGGCUUUUCAACUCAAACUGAAGCCCAGGCAUUCCUGGAAUUCUCCAAACCUCCGUUUGAGACUGAGAUUUCUGUGGUGACCAGUCUCAUGGAAUAAAUAGCUAGCAGCUAAGACUGACUAAUGCAAUGGCAGCUAUUGUUGGACCGCCCACACCAUAUCCUCUGAGGCAAGCUAAUACAUCUCCAUUGAAUAUAUGUUCAGUCUAUUGGUUCCGUUCUCACAGAGACCCUGACUAACACACAUGGGUAUAUGUUUAAGACUUUAAUGAUGUACAGUAAAAGGUUGGAUCGCUUUGCGUCUACACCAGGCAUGUUGGGUAACUCCAGCUGCACUUCAUCAUCACCAAAAUUCUUUCUCUUGGUGGUCCUAGUAAAAAUCUCUUGACCGUUACUGAAACUUCCCAGAAUGCACAGCUUUCCCAGUUUCUGGGGGCUCCAGGCACAGAUCUGCACCUCACACUCAUCUUGCUAUUGAGAUUUGGUCAGCUGCACUCUGGGCUAUGUGCUGAGGGACAAGCAGGAACUAGGCAAGUCUGAUAGAACAGUGAAUGUAUUCCCAGAGUCUAGAGAUCAAUAUAUCUAUGCUAUUCAAACCCCAUAAUGCAUUUCUAAGUCUGCUAGAAAUAACAGUAAAAAAAAAAUCAACUUAGAAAUAUAUGAUUAGAGGGGGAAAAAAAUCUGGUUUUGGUUGAAAUGAUGGUGUAAUGGAACAUAGCACUGCAUAAACAUGUCCAGGGCAUUCCUGAAGAGACUGAGGGUACAGAUGGGAAAGAUAUUUUAAGUCUGUUUCUCUCUGUAUAUCUCUCUCUCUGUUAGAAAUUCAUGGAAAACUGCCUGUAAGGUGACUGUGUGUGCUUGCUGGAGGUAGAUGCUACAUUCUCUUCAAUGGUGAAAGAAAAAAAAAAUCACUUUGAGGAAGACAAAAAUAGUUUUGUUUUAGUUUUAUAAACUAUGAUUAAUUAAAAGGCACCAGUUAAAGUUUAUUGGUGGUUUUGUUUCUUUGAAGUUUACAAAGAAUUAAUACUGAUCACUAGUAUAUAAGCACAUUACUAAUACAUAAUUAAUAAAAAUGUAAGGUUACUUGGGGACAUUUUCCAGCUUUUCUGUUCACCAACAUCCAUCUCAUGUGGCUGUGUCACAGCUUCUUCCUGGACUUGGGAGGUACCAUGGGAAACAUCAGAAAUAUCUGUCUUCAUCUCAUGGUGAAUUUACUUCCGAAACUGACUCCUCCCUGGUAGCUGGAGACAUUCAGGCAGGAGUUGGCCCAUAUGAUAUGAUAUACACCUGAGCUAGCAGUGACGGAUCUGGUUUUACCCCAAAUAUUCUCACCUCUUGGGAAAGACCAGUUCUUCAACUGUGAAGUAAUAGCCAGUGUUAAGAGGAAAAGCUUAGAGAAAAUAAUCCUUCCUCCCUAUUGCCUUGAAGGCCUUGAAGAAAAAUACUUAAACUGUUUUUUUUUUCCUGUACUUUCCAAAGAGUCAAUAACAACUUAGCAAAGAUUGACUUCGUCAAAACUUUCUGUGACUUGAAAGUGUUUCCUCUUUAAAGGUCAAAGGUAAGAAGAACAUUUUAAAAUUCGCUGUCCGUUAAUCAAUAGUCUGGAGUCUUGCAGUGAUUAUUGUCCUAAAGAGACAGCACCCCACCAGGGAAUGGUGGGUGAACUCAGAUUGCCCAUAAAUGGUUGUUUUUUUUUUUGUUUGUUUUCUCUGUUAAUUAAUUUUCUUUCACUGAAAGGCCUGCAUGAUCAGACUCUUCUAGCUGUUGCACAGAAGCUGUGAAAUCAGAAGAAACUGCCGAAGAUUUUUGUGUUGUGAGCAAGAAAGGAAGGUGGUGGCUGAACUUCUCACUGCAGAGAAGUGGCUCUCUGUCCUGGGAGCAAGCUAUAUGGAACCUGAAGACAGAGAAACACUAUGAGAAUGAAAAUAAAAAGAAAAAAAUCAAGUCAGAAAGUUGAUAUAAAAUUUUUUUUUUUUUUUUGUGGAACUUGGAAACUACUAUGGUCCAUUUUUGCCUUUUAUAUAAUUGGAAGCCAAGAGGGGCACCUGAUUCAAUUUAACAUGCUUAUCAGAAUUUCAAAGGUUUAUAUAAGUAGUUUGGCCAAUUCCCAAUAUAUCAGGAUAUAAAUGAUAAUUCCAGAAUGCCCUGCCCCAGUCAAUGCCUACACCUGCUUAAAUCAGCAGGAAGAUCUACCUGGUAUAUAUACGUGUGUGUGUGUGUGUGUGUGUGUGUGUGUGUGUGUGUGUGUGUGUGUGUGUAUGAAAAUUCCUAUAGGUCACAACUGGUCUAGAUGAUAGCUGAUGGAAUAAAAACCACAAUUCAUAGAGACCUUCCCUGGGACCUGCCUGUGGCUGCUCUCAGGCUACCUGUGUGGGGGAAUUUUGAACUUCAUGUUGCACAGAGGCAAGAAGUCAUUGAGCAUACAGUCUCUAGCUUUCAGAAUAUUCUCUAUAACUCAUGGGCAUGAGUUCUCUAUAACUCACUAUGUACUCCCAGCCAGGCUGAGAAAGCAGGAGAAAAAGACAGUUGCUAAACGAAUCCCAUUGUGUCAGCACAGCAUAGUCUCAUGGGCAAAAGGAAAUUAGCUUUUUGUAGAGACUGAAUCUUCAGACUUUUUAACAAAAGAAAUAAAAAAAAUCCAAGUAUUAGUAACUUAACUAGAUAUGCACUCAAAUGAAUGUUUAUGUCCCUCAAAUUCAUGUGUUGAAACCUAGAUUUCCAACAGGAUGUAGUCUUAUGGAUGGAGUAAGUUUCCUUAUUGAUGAGACCCCAAGUCACUCCCUGGCCAUUUCUGCUAUGUGGGGACACAAUGUGAAGAUGGGCAUCUAUGGACUAGGAAAUGAGUUCUUGUUUGAUCCCAAAUCUGUUGGCACUUAAUCUAGGACUUCUUAGCCUCCCAAACUGUGAGAAAUAUUUUUGUUAUUGUUGCAUGUAAGCCAAUCAGGCUCCCUAAAAAGAUGCCAUGGCUCACAGAAACAAGAAGCAGUCUAGAGAACAGAACACUGACAUUCCCAUGAGGUGGGGUGGAUGGUUUUUGGUCAUUCGGUGGAUUAUGAACAUUUGCAAUCAUUUACUGGGGAUAUAGGAAUAUAGGAUAAAAAAACAAUUAUUAAUCUCAAAUAUUUUACAUUGGUAUGAAUUUUGGAAUAUUCAUACAAAUCUAAAGUUAUUUUUGUUAUACUAAGUGUAUGUUUCUAAUCUUGUUUAGAGUUUUUUGCUUAUGUAGCUUAUUUAAAAAUGUAAUGUGUAAUUAAGAAAUGCAGGUUAGUAAUUAGUUAUCUAUAAUAAUCAAACUUGUAGUCAUAUUAGGUAUGUUUUCAAAGUUAAACAAAGAUAUAUUUUAGAAAGAUAGAUGGCCUUCAAACAUUUCAAAGACCUAUAGGAUAUAGCAUUUGAAAUAUUUUGUUAACAUAUUGGCUUUUCAAGACAGUGAGAUAUAUGUGCUCCUGGCAGCACCAAUUAACUUCAGAGAAGAUGAUAAGCAUCCAAGAAACUCCAUACGAAGUUUGAUUUCAUAGCAAAGCUAGCCAUUUGGGCAAGAAACUGCCCUUGCUGUGACUGCUGAUUGUAUGCUGUACAAACUGGACAAGCAGGACACAAAGAAAACUAUUGCUAAACUUUGCCAAGAUAAGGUGGGACAAUCCUUCAAAACUUCUGCUUUAUAGUAAAGUCUGCCAGAAAUCCAGCAGGACACACAGGAAAGCAAUAGCUGAAUUUUGCCAAAAUAAGGCAGAGAAGUCCUUCAGAAUUCCUGCUUCAUAGGAAAGUCUGUCAGGUCUCCUAGGCCUAUAGACUGAAGAUGGAUGCCCCAAUGUUGCAGUGGAACUUUUGGUGACCAUCCAUCCAGCCAGUUGUCUCUGUCAUUUGGAAGUGGUCUUCCUGUUUACUCAGCCCAAAGAAAAAUCCAUCUGCAGAGGAGCCCAACAGCUGAGCCUGGAGCAUCCAACCCAAAGUUAUUGCAUUGCUUCUAAGCUUCAUGAUGGAAAUGAAUAUGUGCUGCCGGCUUUGACCUCACUCUGGACUCUCGUUCCUUGCUUCUGUCUCCUCUUUCCCUUUUGGGAAAUGCUCUCUUAUGUCCGUUCCACCAUUAUAUCUUGUAAUGUAUAGAGUAUUGUUAUGCAUGAUCCACAUGAUACCAUGAUACCCUGUUAAAGUAGCUAGAACUAGAAAGAACAGAUACAAAAUAAAUGACUAUGACCAAGGAACCACAUCAUAGUGUGCAGCAGAAUCCUUCUAGUUUCCAAUAUUUGUCUAUGGUGGUUCACUUUAGUAAAUUUGCCAGAAAUGCCCCCUUAGUUCAGGGUGACUUUCCUUUGCCCCAUAGAACAUUGUAAACUCCAAAACUUGCCCUUCUUCCCAGGACUCUUGGGAAGGGAUAGUCUAUGACUCUGAUGACUUAGCAUUGUGGUAAAUUCAUCUCUGCCCAUAGAGACAGCAUCACCGGAGGCUGUUUGGCUGUCUCUCUGGGGCUCUGCUUCAGCUAGACUUGGCUGAUCUCCUGUUGACUUGUGCCCUGAAGUCUCUGAUACUGUCUCCUCCUGUGGGAGCCUGGAGACUUGACCCUCUUAGAGCAUCGUAUGUUCCAGCUUCUUGCCAUUUAACCCAUGAUACUUAUAACAGGGGACUGCCAUUUUUCAUGGCUUGGGAGAGAAUGUCACUUUCUUUAAUUCUUGUGUAGUGAAGGUACCUCUUCAUAAAAUGAGACUAAAUAAACUGCUUUAAUAUUA